rnacentral:rRNA from 1 species
CUACGGGAGGCAGCAGUGGGGAAUAUUGCACAAUGGACGAAAGUCUGAUGCAGCGAUUCUGCGUGGAGGAUGAAGCAUUACGGUGUGUAAACUCCUUUUCUGGUAGAAGACGAAUGACGGUAUACCAGGAAUAAGGGACGGCUAACUAUGUGCCAGCAGCCGCGGUAAUACAUAGGUCCCAAGCGUUAUCCGGAUUUACUGGGCGUAAAGAGUCUGUAGCCUGAUAUGUAAGUCUGUUUUCAAAUACUCCGACUCAAUCGGAGAAAGGGGAUAGAUACUGCAUAUCUGGAAGUUAUUGGGGGUUAGUGGAAUUUCCGGUGGAGCGGUGAAAUGCGUUGAUAUCGGAAAGAACGCCGAAAGUGAAAACAGCUAACUACAAUAAACUUGACGGUCAGAGACGAAAGCUUGGGGAGCAAACGGGAUUAGAUACCCCGGUAGUCCAAGCUGUAAAUUAUGCAUGCUAGAUGUUUUGGACCCUUGUGGUCUGGAGUGUCGUAAUCUAACGAGUUAAGCAUGCCGCCUGGGUAGUAUAUUCGCAAGAAUGAAACUCAAAGGGAUAGGCGGGGGAACACACAAGCAGUGGAUUAUCUAGAUUAAUUGGAUAAUAAGCCAAAAAUCUCACCUAAACUUGACAUGUACUAUGUCCUAUGUGAAAGCAUAGUAGUCCAAGUAAUUGGACGUGGUACACAGAUGGUGCAUGGUCGUCGUCAGCUCGUGCCGCAAGGUGUCUAGUUAAGUCUAGAAACGAGCGCAACCCUCAUCUUUAGUUAGAAUGUCUAAAGAGACUGCUUCGGUAACGAAGAGGAAGGAGAGGAUGACGUCAGAUCCUCAUGCCUCUUACGUUUAGGGCUUCAUAGAUAAUACAAUGGGUAGCACAACGAGAAGCUAAGCCGCGAGGUGGAGCAAAACUCUAAAACCAUCCUUAGUUCGGAUUGUAGUCUGGAACUCGACUACAUGAAGUUGGAAUUGCUAGUAAUGGCGGGUCAGAAUACCGCCGUGAAUAUGUCCCUGUUCCUUGCACUCACCGCCCGUCAAACCAUGGGAGCUGAGAGCCUCUGAAGAUGUGCUUUGCAUGUUGAGGAGGAUAUUAGUGACUGGGGUUAAGUCGUAACAAGGUAUCCCUACUGGAAGGUGGGGAUG